GGUAUUGUGCCAGAGUUAAUGGAUUUUGUUGAUGUCAAAAACUACAGGGAAUCUCCCUCAAUACCU
rnacentral:tRNA from 1 species